GCCCUGAGUAGGACCCGGUUCUUCUGCCCGCUAGAGCUAGAGCCGCCUCCCGCUCAGCGGCCUCGGAGUAGAAGAAAACAAACGUCUGGGUUGGGCGCUCCUCCGGUCUCUGUAAGGGCCCCCAUCCCGGUUGCCAGGAACGCCCGAGGCUGUGGGGUGAGGGAAUCGAGUCAGCAUGGUCCAAAAAUAAAGAAGGCCUGGAAUGAGCCUCCCAGGGACCAGGCCUAGAGGAAGCUCCAGACAAGGGUGCCAUUCACUGACCCGGUUGGGUUAAAACAAACACCCACACUCCAAGAAGGGGGGUAGCUGGGAAGGAGGGCUUGGAGGGCCAGAGUGGGUGGAGAGCCUGGCUGGGACUGUCAAGGCCACAGGUGCACAGACCCAGGGACCCUCCACCCCACCCCGCAGGCUCAUGGGCCUCGGCUGGGUGCAGGAGUGCCAGUGGGUUCCCAGCGGCCCGCGCCAGAGUUGGGGAUUUCCACCCGCCAGCUUCGGAGACCCGUCGCCGCCGGCGCUUUCCUGCUGGGGCCGCCAGAAGGCGGGGCCUCAGAACGGGAAGCCCUCCCAGCGGCCUCAAGGUCCCUAGGUCAAGUCUGUUAGUGGCGGGCAGGGAUCGCUGCAGUCCCUGGUUGGGGUGGAUGGACCAGGACCUCCAAAUAUUUUGACUUGCCUGAGCUGGGCGGUUCAACCCGAAACUCAGGAGGAAGGGAGGACACUUAGGACUGAGUACAUAUUUACAUGACCUUGUUCCACUUGGAGUUGGCUGACCCUAAUGGCUGUUUGACCUUGAGCAAAUGACUUGAACUUUCGUCGGUUUCUCAGUCUGUAAAAUGGGAAUCAUUACACUGCCUCCUUUGCCUGACUCAUUGGUCUGUGUGAAAAAUACAAUAUUAUAAUGUACUUACUUAAUCAAAUGUAAGAGAUUAUUAUGAACAAUGUAAUGACCAACAUUUGUCUAGAGCUCUGAAGUGCAUUCCCAGACAUUAUCUCACCAAUCCCCACAGCAGCCCUGUGAGGUAGGUGUUACUUUCAUCACUCUCCAGUACAGGUGAGGAAAGCAGGUCCAGAGCUGGUCAACAAUGACUGGAAACCAGGUUCUCUGGCUCUAAACCCAGCAUUCUUUCUUCUACCUCACCGGUUGCUAGCUUUUUUUUUUUUUUUUUGGUGGUGGUGAUGGUGAGCGGAAAGAUCCCAGAUGCGGCUAUGAAAUGGCAAGAAAGUGAAAUGCCUCUCUACAGGAGUAUACAGAUGAAGAAUGCCAGUGCUGUCCCAACAGGUCAUACCUACUGUGCGAACACCCACCGUCCUACACAUGAGCUGGAGACCACUUGAUGACUAUGGCAGGCUGCUGCCCUCAAAGCAUUUCUAGUCUAGGGGACGCCUAUAACCCUGACAGUCAAACCUGGCCUACCUGGUAGCUCAGUUGGUUAGAGCAUCAUCUUGAUAGGCCAAGGUCGCAGGUUAGAUCCUGGUCGGGGCACAUACAAGAAUAAACCAAUGAAUGCAUAAAUGAGUGGAACAACAAAUCGAUGUUUCCCCCCCCCCCCCUUUAUCUUUCUCAAGUCAAUAAAUAAUUAAAAACAAACAAACAAAAAACCUGGCUUACCUAUCACUGGAGCUAGAAAUUGAGGGAGCAGGUGGCCCCCAACCCUGACUCAUCUAGAGGACCACCAUGCUUUAACCUGAAUUUCCCUCUCUGGCCAGAUCCAGAGGAUUUAAGUCUGAUGUGUCCUU